GCAUAUCAAUAAGCGGAGGAAAGGAAAUUAACAAAGAUUUCCUUAGUAACGGCGAGUGAAAAGGAAAUAGUCCAGCGCCGAAUCCCUGGGCCGUACGGUCCAGGGACCUGUGGCGUUAAGAAGAGCCUAUCCGUCGGGUUCUGACUUCGGAAGCUCCCUCGAAUGGGACCCCGUAGCGGGUGCGAGGCCCGUAAAGAAGUCGGUCCCGUCGGUUUGAGCCUUCUGAGAGUCGGGUUACUUGAGAGUGUAGCCCAAAGCGGAAGGUAAACCCCUUCUAAGACUAAAUAAUACCGCGAGACCGAUAGCGAACAGGUACCGCGAGGGAAAGUUGAAAAGAACUUUGAAGAGAGAGUUCAAAAGGGCGUGAAACCGUUUAGAAUAAAACGGACGGAGCCGUCUGAGGCCUAUCGGAAUCAGUCGAAUCGACGCGUGAAAGCGAGUCCGACUCGAAUAAGGGAACGAAAGUCCCGUCGGUUCGUGUUAGUAGCGCUCGUUCGAUGCAUUUCCGACGGGUAAGCGCCGUGACCGAUGCGAAUAGUUUUGGGCUAGCGAAGCCGUCGGAUUGAGGUCGAGCUCGUUCACGCGAGUCUCGUAACCAGUCGGUCGGUCGUCGUUAGACCCGGGCAUCGAGAGAAAAGUUAAUUCGAACGUCGGCGAUUCGUUAGCGCUCGCCUAAUACGAUGGAUGUACGUUCGGUCGGUCGUCACCUGCGUGCAGGUGUCGGUUCGUAUCCGGCGCGUAUCUGAAAUCGUUGGUGACGUUUUACGACGUUCGGGUGUCAACGGCGUCCGAGUCGGUCGCCCGUCCGACCCGUCUUGAAACACGGACCAAGGAGUCUAACGUAAGCGCGAGCUAAUGGGCGGAAAACCCAUAAGCGCAAUAAAAGUAAAAGUCGUUUCGGACGGCUUAGGUACGAUCCCGCAGGGCGAAAAAUCCUCGGGCGCAGUACCGUCCCGUCCCGACCGCGCGUCGGUAGGGCGGAGAUAGAGUGCAUACGUUGGGACCCGAAAGAUGGUGAACUAUGCCUGAGCAGAGCGAAGCCAGAGGAAACUCUGGUGGAGGUUCGUAGCGGUUCUGACGUGCAAAUCGAUCGUCAGACUUGGGUAUAGGGGCGAAAGACUAAUCGAACCAUCUAGUAGCUGGUUCCUUCCG
rnacentral:rRNA from 1 species